UCUUACGUUUAUUUUAGGUUUCAAUUUGGUCUCUUAUGUUUAAAAAGUAUCAAUUUGGUCUCUUACGUUUAUUUUAGGUUUCAAGUUAGUCCUUUCCGUCAAUUUUGUCACAUAUGGCAGUCAAUUUGCAUAUGUGGACAGACACGUGGCACUUGUACACGCUGACACGUGUACUGUUCAAACGGUGUUAGUGACAAAACUAACGGAAAAGAUGAUAAGUGCCAAAAAGUGGUAAUUUUACAUAUAUAUUUUGGGCACUUAUUGACUUGUUUUAAAAGUAAUUUCAUAUAAAAAAACCAACUAAUUGUAAAUAUUAGUUUUAAUUAACAAAUUAGUCAUUUAUUUAUGUUAUUUCUACCUAAUUCCAACACAUUUUUGUAGGUUUUAUGAGCUUAAUGGAAAAAUAGAAGCAAUGAGACCUAUUGGAGACUAAGAAAAAUUGUCAUUGGACCAAAAUUAUGAAGAGGCACAANNN
rnacentral:lncRNA from 1 species